ensembl:lncRNA
CCUUCACAUGACCUUGGAAAGAAUGAGGAAAAUAAAUGACUCCAUAGAAGACAUGGACAACUAAAUAACCAACAGAUGUAGAAAAAUGAAAAACACAACUGUCCCUGAAUUUAUCUUGAGAGACUGUGAAUAACAUAAAUUCUGGAGCAUCCAGCAGAUUGUUUCAGCAAUUGACUGGAAAGAAGAGGGGAGCAUGUUGUCAGUCCAGAUGCUGAAGAAUUAAUUUUGUGUUCUGGUGUCUCAGACAAUGGGAAGAUUUCCAUUACAAGUAGAAGAGAAGAGAUGCCCUAAGGUGCUUGAAACAUCUACACACGUGGUUAGCAGAUACAACACAGGUCUUGUAAGAGAUGCACAUAUUUUUCGAACUGGAACUGGAAAGAACAUGGAUUAUCCUACAGUGCUUCAACUGGCUCCAGAUUCCUGUGCUUAGGUACUUGUAUAAUAAACUAUAUUAAA